CUACGGGUGGCUCCAGUGGGGAAUAUUGCACAAUGGGCGCAGGCCUGAUGCAGCCAUGCCGCGUGUAUGAAGAAGGCCUUCGGGUUGUAAAGUACUUUCAGCGGGGAGGAAGGGAGUAAAGUUAAUACCUUUGCUCAUUGACGUUACCCGCAGAAGAAGCACCGGCUAACUCCGUGCCAGCAGCCGCGGUAAUACGGAGGGUGCAAGCGUUAAUCGGAAUUACUGGGCGUAAAGCGCACGCAGGCGGUUUGUUAAGUCAGAUGUGAAAUCCCCGGGCUCAACCUGGGAACUGCAUCUGAUACUGGCAAGCUUGAGUCUCGUAGAGGGGGGUAGAAUUCCAGGUGUAGCGGUGAUAUGCGUAGAGAUCUGGAGGAAUACCGGUGGCGAAGGCGGCCCCCUGGACGAAGACUGACGCUCAGGUGCGAAAGCGUGGGGAGCAAACAGGAUUAGAUACCCGUGUAGUC
rnacentral:rRNA from 1 species